rnacentral:rRNA from 1 species
AGCGAACGCUGGCGGUAGGCCUAACACAUGCAAGUCGAACGGCAUCAUCGUAAGAGCUUGCUCUCACGGGUGGCGCGUGUCGGAAGAGUGCGGUAGACAUCGGAAUCUACAUUUUAGCGGGGGCUAACGUAGGGUAACUUACGCUAAUACAGCAUACGACCUACGGGUGAAAGCCGGGGAUCUUCUAGCCUUGCGCGAAUGAAUGAGCCGAUGUCGGAUUAGCUAGUUGGCGGGGUAGAGGCCCACCCAGGCGACGCUGCGUAGCUGGUCUGAGAGGAAGAUCAGCCACACUGGAACUGAGACACAGUCCAGACACCUGCGGGAGGCAGCAGUGGAGAAUAUUGCACGAUGGGCGCGAGCCUGAUCCAGCCAUACCGCGUGAAUGAAGAAGGCCUUCUGGUUGUAGAAUCCUUUUGUUGGGAAAAAAAAGCAGCACUUUAAUACCCCGCUGUUCUGACGGUACCCAAAGAAUAAGCCCCGGCUAACUUCGUG